CGUCAGACGACGCGGCGGCGUGCCUAAUACAUGCAAGUCGAGCGAACAGAAGGAGCUUGCUCCCGGAUGUUAGCGGCGGACGGGUGAGUAACACGUGGGUAACCUGCCUGUAAGACUGGGAUAACUCCGGGAAACCGGAGCUAAUACCGGAUAGUUCCUUGAACCGCAUGGUUCAAGGAUGAAAGACGGUUUCGGCUGUCACUUACAGAUGGACCCGCGGCGCAUUAGCUAGUUGGUGGGGUAAUGGCUCACCAAGGCAACGAUGCGUAGCCGACCUGAGAGGGUGAUCGGCCACACUGGGACUGAGACACGGCCCAGACUCCUACGGGAGGCAGCAGUAGGGAAUCUUCCGCAAUGGACGAAAGUCUGACGGAGCAACGCCGCGUGAGUGAUGAAGGUUUUCGGAUCGUAAAGCUCUGUUGUUAGGGAAGAACAAGUGCGAGAGUAACUGCUCGCACCUUGACGGACCACCA
rnacentral:rRNA from 1 species